UACGAAGGGGGCUAGCGUUGCUCGGAAUCACUGGCGUAAAGCGCACGUAGGCGGAUUGCUAAGUCAGGGGUGAAAUCCUGGAGCUCAACUCCAGAACUGCCUUUGAUACUGAAGAUCUUGAGUCCGGGAGAGGUGAGUGGAACUGCGAGUGUAGAGGUGAAAUUCGUAGAUAUUCGCAAGAACACCAGUGGCGAAGGCGGCUUACUGGUCCGGUUCUGGACGCUGAGGCACGAAAGCGUGGGGAGCAAACAGG
rnacentral:rRNA from 1 species